rnacentral:rRNA from 1 species
UACGUAGGGUGCGAGCGUUGUCCGGAAUUAUUGGGCGUAAAGGGCUCGUAGGCGGUUUGUCGCGUCGGGAGUGAAAACCUCGGGCUUAACUCGGGGCUUGCUUUCGAUACGGGCAGACUGGAGGUAUGCAGGGGAGAACGGAAUUCCUGGUGUAGCGGUGAAAUGCGCAGAUAUCAGGAGGAACACCGGUGGCGAAGGCGGUUCUCUGGGCAUGACCUGACGCUGAGGAGCGAAAGCGUGGGGGAGCGAACAGG